AUUGAACGCUGGCGGAAUGCUUUACACAUGCAAGUCGAACGGUAACAGGCCGCAAGGUGCUGACGAGUGGCGAACGGGUGAGUAAUGCAUCGGAACGUGCCCAGUCGUGGGGGAUAACGCAGCGAAAGCUGUGCUAAUACCGCAUACGAUCUAUGGAUGAAAGCGGGGGACCGUAAGGCCUCGCGCGAUUGGAGCGGCCGAUGUCAGAUUAGGUAGUUGGUGGGGUAAAGGCCCACCAAGCCAACGAUCUGUAGCUGGUCUGAGAGGACGACCAGCCACACUGGGACUGAGACACGGCCCAGACUCCUACGGGAGGCAGCAGUGGGGAAUUUUGGACAAUGGACGCAAGUCUGAUCCAGCCAUUCCGCGUGCAGGAUGAAGGCCCUCGGGUUGUAAACUGCUUUUGUACGGAACGAAAAGGUUUCUAUUAAUACUAGGGGCUCAUGACGGUACUGUAAGAAUAAGCACCGGCUAACUACGUGCCAGCAGCCGACGG
rnacentral:rRNA from 1 species